rnacentral:rRNA from 1 species
UACAGAGGGUGCGAGCGUUGUUCGGAAUUAUUGGGCGUAAAGGGCGCGUAGGCGGCGCGGUAAGUCACCUGUGAAAUCUCCUGGCUCAACUGGGAGCUUGCAGGCGAAACUGCCGUGCUGGAGUGUGGGAGAGGUGCGUGGAAUUCCCGGUGUAGCGGUGAAAUGCAUAGAUAUCGGGAGGAACACCUGUGGCGAAAGCGGUGCACUGGACCACAACUGACGCUGAGGCGCGAAAGCUAGGGGAGCAAACAGG